rnacentral:rRNA from 1 species
CAGCUAGUUGGUGAGGUAAUGGCUCACCAAGGCGACGAUCCGUAACUGGUCUGAGAGGAUGAUCAGUCACACUGGAACUGAGACACGGUCCAGACUCCUACGGGAGGCAGCAGUGGGGAAUAUUGGACAAUGGGCGAAAGCCUGAUCCAGCCAUGCCGCGUGUGUGAAGAAGGUCUUCGGAUUGUAAAGCACUUUAAGUUGGGAGGAAGGGCAUUAACCUAAUACGUUAGUGUUUUGACGUUACCGACAGAAUAAGCACCGGCUAACUCUGUGCCAGCAGCCGCGGUAAUACAGAGGGUGCAAGCGUUAAUCGGAAUUACUGGGCGUAAAGCGCGCGUAGGUGGUUUGUUAAGUUGGAUGUGAAAUCCCCGGGCUCAACCUGGGAACUGCAUUCAAAACUGACUGACUAGAGUAUGGUAGAGGGUGGUGGAAUUUCCUGUGUAGCGGUGAAAUGCGUAGAUAUAGGAAGGAACACCAGUGGCGAAGGCGACCACCUGGACUAAUACUGACACUGAGG